rnacentral:rRNA from 1 species
UACAGGGGGGGCAAGCGUUGUUCGGAAUUACUGGGCGUAAAGGGCCAGUAGGCGGCCAACUAAGUCCGACGUGAAAUCCCCAGGCUUAACCUGGGAACUGCGUCGGAUACUGGAUGGCUUGAAUUCGGGAGAGGGAUGCAGAAUUCCAGGUGUAGCGGUGAAAUGCGUAGAUAUCAAGCGGAACACCAGUGGCGAAGGCGAGUCCCUGGACAACUCCUGACACUGAGGCACGAAAGCUAGGGGAGCAAACAGG